AGCAGGACUUUUAUUUUGGAGUGACGACAUGACGUCAUAAGACUGCGCCGCGAUCCUGCAUCUGCUGAAGAAAGAUGGCGUUUAUUAAAGAUGAGACUGAAGACAUAAAGAUGGUGAUUAUUAAAGAUGAGACUGAAGAUAUAAAGAUGGAGUAUAUUAAAGAUGAGACUGAAGACAUGAAGAUUGAGUUUAAUAAAGAGGAGUUUGAAGAAAUUAAGAUUGAAGAAACAUUCAGAGUGAAACAUGAAGAUACUGAGGAACAAACAGGGUAAUGGAAACCCGGCUAAUGACAGAAGAUAACGUCUUGACAGGUGGACACUGGAGUAGGAGGGGAGAGCAUGCACCACCACGCACACAGUAUGGAUCAGGUGAUCUUCAUAUUCUCACAAUGUAUUCAAUAGGGGUGUUGAAAUUAACAACACGAUGCAGAUGUGGACGAUUCUGCAUCAAUGCAGUAAUAGACCAAAUUCAAUUAUAGCCUGACUGAUGUUUCCCUGAUGUCAUUCGUCGCGUGUGCUUGUCGCUCUAAUGAAAAAUGGCAGAGGGAGGUGAAAAACAAAAGUGUUUCUAUGUGUGAAUGAAUGGCACAGGUGCACAAUUCCAUUUACCAUGUGACGCUCACUCAUCAGUAGGUGUAGUAAACAAGACUAUGCGUCUGCGCCAUUCAUUCACAAGAAGAGGUGCGGGGCAUGUUAAAAUGGCCUUUUUGUGGUUUAAUAUUCUCACUUUGACAACAAGAAGGCAUGAACGUCAACUGCAGAGCUGCCGUAAGAGUCACUUCACAAGCAUUUUUGAGAGAAACUAUGGUCAUCAUAUUUAUAAACAUGGAAAUAUCACGGCAACCCCUCAUAAAGAUAAGUUUUGAUUUAACUUGUAGAUAUUGUGACAAAUGUAUAACUCAAAUGUAUAAUUAUACAGUUUAAUGUAAUAAUAAUACCACUAGUACUAAUAAUACUAGUUAUUAUUAAAACUUUUUUUUGUUUAUGGAGUAUUAUCAUUUGAUUAAAAGAUUAAUUAAUGUUGUAUGAAUUCAUUGGGCCCUAUACAAAUUUUUUUUUUUUUGCAUGUUUUCGAUUAAGACUGAAAGGUGACACUCUUGCAAACUACCUCCCUUAAAGGAUUUUAUUUUUUAUUUUAUGUUUUAUCUGAAAUGCAUUUGAAAAAAGGUUUGACCUUUUGAUAACAUAACUGAAAUGAAAAAUAUCACUGUUUUGUCUCCCUUGGGUCGGGACAUUCCAAGCAUUGUGAGUUUCAUACGCAAAUCUGCCGCCACACAAUAGGACAGUGAUGCCAGUAGGAUAAGGCUUUCUUUCACAAUUCCAAAACAUGUGCUGAACAGGACAACACCAAUUCUCACAAACAUUUUGCUUCUACUUUAUAUCAUGUGACUGAUAUUUACUCUUAGACAUUGUGUGUAGUAGGAUUGUCAGGAUACCAUAAAAAAUAUCUUACAAUACUACACCACAAGGGUGUAGAUUUGGUUUGAACAUUUGGGUGGUUGAACGUUGGUAUGCUGCCAGUUAUUUUUUUUUAAUUAUAAUAAUAAUAAUCUGUUUUAUGUGUAGUGUUAUUAGACAAUUUAUUUCUUAUUGUCUUUCUAUCAUCUAUCUAUCUAUCUACACCUCUUAACUUACGUGGGCGAGGGGGUGGGGGGGCAUUUAAAUAAAUCUCCCCCAUCCCCCCCACAAACUACGCCCCUGUAUUUCUAUCAUCUAUAUGAUAAUACUCCACCUUUCAUAUACCUAUAAAAAUCCACUGUUUUGUUUUAACUAUAAUUACAUUACUAUACUUGGUGUUGCAUCACAAUAAUAAAGUAUGUAUUAAUGGUGCCCUAGAAUUGAAAAUUGAAUUUACCUCGGCAUAGUUAAAUAAUUAGAGUUCUGUACAUGGAAAAGACAUACAAUGAGUCUCAAACACCAUUGUUUCCUCCUUCUUAUGUAAAUUUGAUUUUUGCAAAAGACCUCUGAAGAACAGGCGAAUCUCAACAUAACACCGACUGUUACAUAACUGUCGGGAUCAUUAAUAUGUACGCCCCCAAAUUUUGCAUAUGCCAGCCCAUGUUCAAGGCAUUAGACAAGCCAGUAUUAAUGUCUGGAUCAGCACAGCCGAAUCAAACUCAUUCAGAAUCAAACAAACAUCCAAAUAAAUACCAUACUUACAUGAUCUGAUAUGCUGCAUGAUGAACACUUUGUGAAGAUCCAUUUUGAGGGUUAUAUUAGCUGUGCUAAUUGUUUAUGCAAUGUAUUAUAGAGUCGCGAGCUUGGGGGCGGGGAGCGCGAGCAUUUAAAGGGGACAUGCGCUGAAACGGCGCAUUUCUAAUUAUGCCCCAAAAAAGGCAGUUAAAAAAUUGAAUAAUAAAAAAUCUAUGGGGUAUUUUGAGCUGAAACUUCACAGACACAUUCAGGGGACGCCAGAGACAUGUAUUACAUCUUGUGAAAAAGGGUUCUAGGGCACCUUUAAAUAGUAAUGAUGACAUAAAUAUUAUGUGUGAUAUUAUAAAAGGUAUAUUAUGUCAUAGAAAGUCGAUUUAUUGGAACAAUUAUGUUUACAGAUUCUUUUGAGAAAAGCAAACAUCUCUUUGUGCUCAUGCACAUUUUCCCAUUAAUUUAUAACAGAACUACAGGUUAGGGUGGUGGGUCGUAGGGUAUCAAGAACACACACCAAACCCAACAUAUAUCAUCUGCAAUCUUUUUUUCUUGAAUGCUGCAAAACUCCUUGCUGCCACACCCAAUCUGUGACAUCCCAUCCUAACUGGCAGCUCAAAAGUCCCAUCAAGUAACCCCCCAAGCUCCAAGCUACUCCACUUCAAAGAGGUGUUGGCUGGCAGGUAGCGAGGAAACGGACACUUGAUGACCUCUGGUUCAACUACCUCUUCCACUGGUUCCUCAACCACCUCAGGCACUUCAGCCUUUCGUUUUGAUGCUCUUGGAGCACUAACCCUAACCUCCAACUUGUGUGGAAUAGUCUCAUGGAGACGCCACACCCUCACAGGUGCUUGAGCAGAAACCUAGACAAAAUCUGUAAACUCUGCAGUCUGACCUGGCUCAGGGGAAGAUCCUGAAUAACAUUGGCGAGCUCCUGGAAGUUGACAAAGUCGCCAUUUGCAAUGCGUGGCAAUGGACGUCACAAACGUAGCCACCUUCAAGACAGAAUUGUAAUCCAAGUUUUGCGGCAACCGCGGCAUGCCAUGUUUCAAAUAUUUUUCUGAAUGUCUUGAGUAAGACAGAUUGCGCCGCUCAAGUUCCAUAUAUACAGGUGCUGGUCAUAUAAUUAGAAUAUCAUCAAAAAGUUCAUUUUUUUUAUUAUAAAUUAUUUUUAAAAAUGAAACUUUCAUAUAUUCUAGAUUCCCUACAUGUAAAGUAAAACAUUUCAAAAGUUUUUUUUUUAAAUUUUGAUGAUUAGAGCGUACAGCUCAUGAAAGUCCAAAAUCCAGUAUUUCAAAAUAUUAGAAUAUUUCCUAAGAUCAAUCAAAAAAUGGAUUUGCAAAACAGAAAAGUUCAAGUUCUUUAAAGUAUGUUCUUUUGUGCACUCAAUACUUGAUUGGCAGGACAUAUUACAGCAAAUGACUUGCUCCUAGCACAAAUUACUGCAUCAGUGAAGUGUGGCAUGGAAGUGAUCAGCCUGUGGCACUGCUGAGGCACUAUUGAGCCUUCAGAUCAUCUGUAUAUUGUUGGAUCGACUGUUUCUCAUCUUUCUCUUGAAAAUAUCCCAUAGAUUCAGGUCAGGCAUAUUGGCUGGCCAAUAAAGCACAGUAAUAUCAUGCUCAGCAAACCACUUAGAAGUGGUUUUUGCACUGUGGGCAGGUGCUAAAGUCCUGCUGGAAAAGGAAAUCAGCAUCUCCAUAAAGCUUGUCAGCAGAUGGAAGCAUAAAGUGCUCCAAAAUCUCCUGGAAGAUGGCUGCAUUGACUUUGCACUUGAUAAAACACAAUGGACCAACACCAGCAGACGUCACGGCCCCCCCAAAUCAUUAUUGACUUCAGAAACCUCACACUAGACUUCAAGCAGCUUGGAUUCUGUGCCUCUCCAGUCUUCCUUCAGACUCUGGGACCAUGAUUUCAACAUGAAAUGCAAAAUUUACUUUUAUCUGAAAAGAGGACUUUCGACCACUGUUCACUGUCCAGUUCUUUUUCUCCUUAGCCCAGGUAAGAUGCUUCUGACGUUGUCUCUGGUUCAGAAGUGGCUUGGUAGUCCUUUUCCUGAAGAUGUCUGAGUGUGGUGACUCUUGAUGCGCUGACUCCGGCUUCAUUCUACUCAUUGUGAAGUUCUCCCAAGUGUUUGAAUCGGCUUUACUUGACAGUAUUCUCAAGCUUGCGGUCAUCCCUGUUGCUUGUGCACCUUUGCCUACCCAAUUUCUUCCUUCCAGUCAACUUUGCAUUUAAUAUGCUUUGAUAUACACUCUGUAAACAGCCACCCCAUUCAGUAAUGACCUUCUGUGACUUAUUCUCUUUGUGGAGGGUGUCAAUGAUUGUCUCCUGGACCAUUGCCAAGUCAGCAGUCUUCCCCAUUAGUGUGGUUUCAAAGAACAAAAGAUACCCGGAAUUUAUACUGUAGGGAUGGUCAUUUAAUGAAACUCAAAUGUAAAUAUUCUAAUAUUUUGAGAUACUGGAUUUUGGACUUUCAUGAGCUGUACGCUCUAAUCAACAAAUUAAAAAAAAAAAACUUUUGAAAUGUUUUACUUUACAUGUAGGGAAUCUAGAAUAUAUGAAAGUUUCAUUUUUUAAAAUAAUUUACAAUAAAAAAAUGAACUUUUUCACGAUAUUCUAAUUAUAUGACCAGCACCUGUACGUCACCAACGAGGCUGGCAGCUCUAGCCUCAUUAGAUGGCAUUUCUGUAUCAUCGUGGAUCUCCCAAAAUUCCUUGCCACACCAGCUCACUUUUUCAUUGUUUCGGAUGGACCACAUCUUAAAUGCAGGAAAGAACCGUAGCUUCUGUUCCAACAUUCCAACCAUUAGGCACUUUGUCACAUCAUGACCUGCUUUUUUCACCAUGUCCCUGGCCCUGGAAAAAGUGUGUGGAUACCGAAAAGCUGCCUUCUCACACAAUUUCUCACAAAGACAUUGGAUGGUCAUGGAACCUUUCAGGGUCCCAGGCACCCUUGACCCCUUCAGAGCUGCGAGUGGCAGCUUUUCGUUAUGAUUCUACAAAUCACCCAAAACUACCAAAAACAGCUGCUCUCCAAUGACCGAUGGCCCAGCAUGGAUACUGUCAGACAACGGAAACAAGCAACAGAUCCUCAUAUUCUGUACGUCAUUGUUUGUCUAGUUGGAUAAUGGAGUCGUCAAGCCAGCACUGGCACUGUUGAGAGCAGGUCCCCAAGCUAACAGAUAACUGCUGAUCAAAAUGAGACAGUGGGUGACCAAAAAAGAGCUCCUCCAAAGCCAUCUCAUAUUGAUAUGAGCACCACCCAUGCCAUCAUUCUGAUCGAGCAGUCCCCUAAGCUUAACUGUCAAAUGAUUGACAACCUGGGUGAUAACAGACAAGAGACCAGGUUCGUGUUUAUAAUCCAAGAACGGUACAACCAUGGCCCGACUGGAUAACAGACCCGACAGUGCCUCCUCCUUAAAGGUGGACUCAGCAUCCAUAAAAUGGUGAAAAUCACCAUUGAACAGCGCCACCUGCUCUAGUCUGCAACUUAAAGUGGACCCAAAUUUUUUGUUCAGAUCCUCCAUGUAAUUGAUAUAUUGUCUCCCUUUUUGACACAUGGCCCUAGCCUGUCUGGGAUGAGACAAACCACAAUUAACCACACAACCAUUACCAAUAUUUUUAUAUUUUACAUAAUUUUUAAAUCGAUUAUUAAAAUCUAUCUGCGUAAACUCAUGACAUAUUAAGAGAGGAAGAGAGAAUGAGAAUAAAUAAAGGUGUGCCUUUGUGUGUUGUAAAGUCAAAUGUGUGUAUGUGCGUGCAUGGGGGAUAUGGGUCAAAAGAAAUCUGAUCGGCUAGUUUAGUUUCGUCGCUUUUUCCACACAUGAAAAAUGACGUUACAGAUAGUUAAUGUUUAAAAACAGGCUCAAAAUGAGUAAACGCUCUCUAAAACAGCUAAAUUCGACUGAAACAUUUGCAAAAAGGCCUAAAACUAUUGAGUAGGGAUGGAGAAAUAAAGCCUCUUAAAUCUUAAAUCCAUGUUUCGGGAAAGGUUUCAAAGCAUCAAGAGUGUCGAAAACAGCGCCAUCUUGUGGCAGGUAAAAUUUACAGCAGCCAUAACCUGAGUGCGCAGUUCUGUUGUUUUAUCCAUUAAGCACAAAUAAAAGCCUGAUGACGCUAAAUGUGUUUAUUUCAGUAAUAUAAUUCACAUAUUAAAGUUUGGCAAUAAAUGAAAUGGAUCAACAAAAACAAUAAUUAUAAUAAUAUAAUAGCUGAGUUGUGUGAAGCAAGUAAAUUGUGCUGUUAUUGUAGCCUAAAUACUGUUUAUGACAGAAUUUAGAUUAUAGAGAUUAUAGGCUACAGGCUUAUAUAUUUAAAAUGUUAGUAAAUGCACUUUACUAUUAUACCCACGUCUUCCAAGCCACCUGCUUGUACAUAACCGGCGCCUCUUGAAUUAAUUUACUUGAUCAUUAAUUUACUUGUUUCACUUUUCACUUUCUAUGUACUCAUGUAGGCUAUUUAAUAUGUACUUAAUUUUAUUAUCACUGUAAAUGCGGAAAUGUGAACCAUUGUCCAUCAUUGGGCAAUUGGUGAUAAAGAAAAAUGUCACGUCGCAAUAUUGGAAAUUUUUCCAUUUUAAACCAUGAAGGCGAAUCAGUGUACUGUAUAUCAAACAAGCAAUGUGCAAACUUUGCGGGAGAGUUAUGCCGAUGAAGACGUCUCAAUCCCCACUGCCAGUCAAUUAUUCACCAGCCUUUACAGAAAAUAAAAGUAAAACCGACGAGCUUUCGGUGCAUAUUCUCUCAGAGACAACGAGAGAUAAAUCUUACUUCAACAAGCUGAUAAUGGUAGGCUAUGUCUUAAUUUAUUUACUUUAUAUUUCUCUUGUGGCCCAUAUACUGUACGUAGUGAAAAAAAAUGAGAAGAGAAGUGUUUCGUGCACUCAAAAAAAUGAUUCAAGCUCGUCUUAGAUAUGACACAUUUAUAUUGUGUUCACUUUAUUUACAUAUAUCCAAUUAGGAUAAAUACUUAUAUUUAAUAAGUCUAACAUAAAAUGUAUAAACAGCAUCAUCUAUGAGAUUUAUUUUAAUUUGAUUAACUCAAAUUAAUUUGGCUUUUGGCGCCAUUUGAGCAUGUGCAAAACAAGCUCAGAGAACAGAAGAACACGCUCAUGGUGUGGCCACUAUUUUCUCAUCUGGUGCUGCGAGGAACUUGGGUAAAUUUGGUUUUAUAUUCGCACAUUCGGACUUCCGCAUAGGCUACAAUAACUUUGUACACUACAUUGGACAUUCAGUGGACGUUCGCAAGUAAGUAUGCCAUUAAAAUAAUACUUGCCCAUUUUGAUCGAUUGUGAAAAAUGUUGUAGGGUUACAAUCGUUGGUUGUAAAUAUCAUGUCGCUGUUCAGAAUUUGCAAACAUUUACUUUAUUGCACAUUAUUAGAACGUUCUUAAACGCGGAAGUCUGAAUGUGCGAAUAUAAAACCAACUUUACCAAAGUCUGCGAGGACUGUUACGGCGUAUUCCUUAUUGGUAAGUUAUUUGUUUAAUUUUUUUGUAAUUAAGAAUUGACCUCCCCAGCAAACAAAGUUAUGUUCCGAGAACAUUUUCCUAACGUUCUGUUUUGGUUGUGGGAACGUUAUUUGAAAUGUUCUAAAAACGUGUAAAUGUCCAGUUUGCUUAACGUUGCUGGAACGUUAUCUUAAGGUUAGCAUAACGUUCCUGCAACGUUCUUUCCACCUAAAUUUUAUUAACAAUACAACAUUCAAAGAACGUUUAUUUGGAACAUUCCAAGAAUGUAAAAUGUCUGUUAAAAUGUUAUGUUAAGGUUAGAAUAAUGUCCCUGAACCAUUCUUUUCAACAUUCUUUGUUUUUAUUAACACCAUACACAACCAUUUCAAGAACAUAAUGUGAACCUCAAAAUAUAAUGAUAUAACUGCACUUAAAAAAGUUUACAUUUAUGAUAACUUGAGAAGAGGAACAAUAGAAACAAAUACUCUCAACAUUUAAGCUUGUACUGUGAACUCAAUUAAGCUUAAUCAGUGAGGACAGGAGUGUGUGUGGGGGUGGAUGCCAGACUAGCAGCUCCAGUCUCUUCAUGCUCCGUCUGUAAAGUGAACAGAUUGACUGAUGUUACUAAUGGUUAUUUAUUAUUUCAUAAGCAUUUAAUAAUAACAGUGUGGCUACUCCAUACAAGUUAACCCUUAAGUUAUUUAGCUUAUUUAAGUACUAUAAAUUUGAACUAUAAAUAUUAAAUCACACAAGAUUCAAAGGUAGCUUACAAAUGUUACACACUGUAAAGUUCAUAACAAAUUGUAAAGAUUACACUUGAGGUAAAGUCAGGUAAUAUGCAUAUGUACAUAUACAAAUAAAAAAAACACAAUGAUACUUUUAAAUUAAACUGCCUGUAGGGAGUGGCUAGUGACUGUCGUAAUGAGUGAAUCAGUAGGUUCGACUUGAAGCAGUGCUGUGCAAUACAACUGGUGUAUGACAUCAAAGUACAGCAAGAGCAAUUCCACAGCAUACAGAGCUGUCCGCUCUCUAAUCGUUCUCGCAUUACUUUGUCUGAUGUCUGUGCAGCGCUACUUCAAGUUGAACAGACCUGUAUUCAUUCAACCAACUGUUCAAAGCUGAUUCAUUCAAGAAUUAGGCAUGGGGAUUAUGAAUGGGGAGUGUGUAUAUACAGUGCCCUCCAUAUACGUUUUGUGACAGUAAAGACAAAAAUGCUUUGUUAGCUGUGGUGUCAAGAUAUCUAUAAAUAUGAUUAAAAGAUUAAUAUGGGGCAGAAGUACAAUGUCACAUUAUAUUAUUGGCUGUUUCAACACAAAAAGUAAGUAAGAAGUAGAGCACUUUUAGAGUUUCAUCCCUCUGUCUAAUGUGAGCGUAAGUAUUGGGAUGGUUUAACUUAAAAUAAAUGUAAAUGUUAAUAUUUAGUUGUAAAUCCCUUGCAAACAAUCACAGGAGCGAGUCUGUGACCCACUGACAUCACCAGACUCUUGUACAGAAAAAACAUUAAUGUCAAGCCCUGUAUACAUUUUCAUCAUUAAUACGUCAUUCCUAGAAAUGCAUUGUCAAGUUGACAAAUUGACCAUAUUUAUUAACUUGAUGGGUACACAAACACAAACUGGAAAUACAUAACAAUAGGGUAAAGUCAAUUGCAACUUGCAUUUCAUGCCAACUUUAAACAGGGAACAUACUAGGGGUGAAACGGUUCUCGGUAAAAAAUCAAACGGUACCGUUCUGCACAUUUGGUUCAGCACACACUUGAACCGCAGUUCAUCUCAUAUCUGACGAUGCAUACACAUUUAUAAUAUGGUUUGUAGAAAAUAAAUAUAAAACAGACAGACAGAGUUAGGCUAAUGUAUGUUUCUGUCAAUGGAUACGCAUUCUGGCUUCUCCUAAACUUUGUUCAAUGCGAGUGCCGUAUCAUAUACAUAUCCUAGCAAGCAUAGUAGGUUACGUCUUAAGUGAACUUAAACACUUGAGAAAGAACGCUUGUGUUCAGUAUCAGUGUACUGAUUCGUGUAUUAUGUCUUAAAGAGACAGCAGCCCUUGCAUUCCUGCUGUCUGAAUGUGUUUUUAAUCAAACAACAAAAGAUAAGGAAAUCACUCAUUGCUCAUGACUGAAUAGUAACUUAAUAAUUAAUAAUGACUGAUCUUUAUUUAAUUUAUACAGUGAAGAUUACAUGCAAUGUUGUUUUACAUUUUAUAAGAUACUUAAUUCAAUUUCUGUACCUGAAAACAUGAAAAACCUGAAAAGCUUUAUUUAUUUGUAUCUUUGCUUUACUGUAUUUAUUCGUGCUGUUUGAUUAUUUGUUCUUAUUUUUCUUUAUUUUUAUUUGACAGUAGUCAUUUUUUACCUGAACAUAGCACUUACCGAACCGUACCGAAACCGAGCCUAAAACCGUGAUACAAACCGAACCGAGAGUAAUCUGAACCGUUGCACCCCUAGAACAUACCAGCAAAUAUAGUAAUAUGUAAGUUACCAACAUUUAACUACAGUUUUUCUCACAAAAUGUUGCCAUGUUACAUGUUGUGAGCUGAUAAACUGUUGUAUGACCUAAGUCAGGGAUGCAAACUAAGGUAAGACAGUUAAAGCAGGUGUUAUCAUAAAGUACACCUUUAAAGUAAAAUGACAAUGUAGAAAAUGUUACUGAACUAUUUAGGUAACAAAACAAAAACACAUUCAGAACUCCCAUCCCAAACCUCUGAAAUGUUUGUAUCCCACAGGAUACAAAAAAUAAAAAACUUUUAGGGUUAAGAAAACAUGCAAUAAUUCUGGAAAGUUACUCCUUGAAUCGCGAUGAGGAGCGUACUUCAGUGUUUCUGCGAUGCAUUCCUCAAACACCUUAACUGGCAUCUUCAGAUGCAUCCUUUGGCAAGCCUCUAAAAAAAGAAGUUUACAACAUCUUGGUUUAGUGGAACUUCAGUAAAAAUGUUGUGAAAACCAAUAUGUCAUGACAUCUUAAACAUUAAUCCCUAUUUACACCUCGAUUUAACAUUUGCUAAAUACAUGUGCUAUCCCAUGAGGCCACAGGAGAGGAUUCUUCAUAUUCGAAAAUGACAGAAAGCGGCGAUGCAGCGCUUUUCAAGUGUAAGUACCUCAGGGAAAAACGGUGUUCAUUGUGGUUAAAUUGCACUUGUUUACCAUAAUGUAAGUAAACAGCUGACUUAUUGAAAGUUUAAACAAUGUAAAUCGAUGAGAAGAUUUUGAGAGUCGGCUGUAAAAAGAUGUUUAAUCAUUAUUACUGAGAGCACAUCAAGCUAACGAACAGAUCGAGACACAUCAGCUUGUUAACACUGUUUUAUUUAACGGAGACCUUGUUGUUAAGCAGUUUAAUGAGAUUAGAAAACUUAACGGAAUUAAAACGAUUUUUUCCUCUUUUACCAGUGUUAAUGUUUAGUUGAUAUUUAGUUGGCAACACAAGCUAAUAAGUAUGCAUCAGCUUGUCAGUGUAGCAUUAAUAGAUCGAUCAUCAUGACUAAUGUUUAAAUACUGUUUUGACAUUAAUUUGCAGGGACUGAUGAACACACCCGCGCCCUCAUCCAGUGGAGAGUGGCUAAUGAAGCCCUCUUCACUGGAAAACAAAAUGCUGCCAUCAAAGGAUUUGAGGAAGUAUACAAAUGAGGGAGUGAAACCCUGGCCAAUGAACAAAAAGGUCAUCACCAGACCAAGACUCACCUGACUGGAAGGAGGAAUCAGGCCAGAACAUCUGUUUGUUGGGCAAAACACGGCAAUCUACCUCUCCUCUCCCCUCUCACUGACAGAGGAGGAAGAGAAGCUUGCAAAAGAGGCCCUCAUUCCUCCAUCCCUUGAAGUCGCCGGGCUAGACCAGGACCUCUUUUCCCGGGGGGAUACCUUACACUUGACGGGAUGGUGGAAAAUCUGCAGGUUACGAGGAUGACCACUGUUGCGGGAAGUCCCCAUCUUGGACUUGGCCAUCCAAAGUGGAUCUAAACGUCUUGACGUAUCCCUGUGGCGUGAUCAGGCCCUGACCACGAUUCACCUAAACGACAAACUGAAAAUUACUCGCCUGAAGGGGAACAUCAAGUCUCUCAAGUUCAAUUCGACGAGCAACACAACCGUAGAGGAAUGCCACAUACACAGCCCUCUGUCCUGAAAAAUCAUCAAACGCCUGCUUAUACAACCAGUGAAGAUGACCGAUGUGCAAGGCAGCCAUGUGCCCAUCCUGGACCAAAAGCUGCUGAAGUUUCUCUCUGGAGAGACGAGGCUCAGUGUGAGCUCUGUAUCAAAGACGAGGUGGAGCUCACACACCUCAAAGUCUUUCUUUUGGGGAAUGGAGGAGGAAAACUGAAUUCCUCAUCCCACACAACUGUGAAGGCAAAUCUUCGGCGAGUACAGACAGUGAAAUACAGACAGUGAGCCAGAGGAGGGUAUAAAGAGGAAAUACCACCAUCUCUCCACUUGUCCAGCACCAUCUAUUCCUCCACCUACUCCUGACAUACCAUCAAAUGGCACUUGCCAGACUUCUUCCACUGAAUCAUUUUGUAAGCAAUGUGUUUGUUCAUAUCUAGCUGUUUAGUUGUGACAUUAAUAUAACAGUAUUAAGUCAAGUUUCUUCUAUGGGACUGAUGCAGUUAAUGUAACUUAAUGUGCUCAGUGAAUCUAACAGGUUUCAGCUGGACAUACUUAAGGGAUCUAUUUAUGAUAAUAAAUAUGAAAAUUUAUCACAUCCAAAAUGUGCAGUGUUAUGGGGCUACAGGAAUGUGUUGGGAACACUGUUAUUAAACUCAUUAAAUAAGGACAUUAAAAUCAUUUGAAUGUAUUCUAGCCGCUAAUUUGAAAAUGAGCAUAAUAUGGGCACUUCAAUUAAAAAAUCACAUGCAAAUAUUGUUCAGCCCAGAAUACAAUUCAUGGGUGUGUUUGUAACAAGCUUUCACGAGUUUACAUGUACAUGAAAUCAAAAUAAAGUAAUUCGUAUAGUAAUUUAUGCGUAUUUGGCGUGCUGUCCGGGGGAGGGCUCCGAGCUCGGAAUUUGGCCCGAACCCAGAGUACUCCCCCUCCUUAACUGGGAUAGAAACCAGCCAAGAGUGAGGUGAUGGGGUGGUGGAGGGAUGCUGUGAAACUUGUCGCGGGAUAGAGGUGAGAGACGGCUUUAUAUACCGGCUUCCUCUUGCACUGAUUGGUUGAUUACCUGAACGUGCGCCUCCCGAAUUUUGUUAAAUAAAACUUCAUUUAAAAUUUAGUAAAUAAGCCACACAAUCAGACCUAUGUUUUUAUAACCAUUUAAUUUUUUUUUUUUAUUGUAUUUGUCCCCCUCAUCUAGAAUUUGCAGAAGUCAAUAAGAAUGACAUGUGAAGAUGAGCAACAUCUGGAUGACACUUCUGCUGUGUAAUGAAAGUUAAAGUCUGAAAUGAUAUUUAUUCAAUGUGCUUUAUUUAAAAACACAUUUCAAUAUAAAAAUACAAAAGCUUGCUGCUCUUUCAAAUGUUUAUUUCAAAAGAUCCAGACAUCAUGUUCUUAGUCAUGUUAAAUUUGCAUGACAAGGUGGCUUGGUUUGUAAGAGACCAGUUAUUUCCAUGCUGCUUAUAAAUGGUAAUGUAAGAGGUUGUUUGGCUGGUCAUUGUUUGCUUGAACUAUUAUUUUAAAAUGCAUGAAAUAAGCCAUUUUUCCCCCUCCAAAUUCUUAUUUACAGGUGAACCCAUGGAAACCAUACUGUGAUCACUGCAAACAAAGCACCUAUCAGGCCAAACUAUGUGAAAAAGCCAUGGGCAAAGCAAGAAGUGGAAGCAGUUUUCAGGCACUUUAAAACUCACAUAAUCAAGGGGCAUCUUACCUCUCUAAAGGAAUGCCAUUCGUGCAAAAACGCAGAGAAAAAUCCUGCAGGGACGAAUGAUCCAAAAUAUCAGGGACUUCGUCCGAAACAAAGGAGUGUGUUUAAAGUGAAAAAAUGCAUUGCAAGACUUCUGAUCUAUUCAGAAAAACUUUGAAAGGAAAGAGAACUGACACAGCGGGCAUAUUGACAAUUAGAAUGAAUUGAUUUUCAUUUAAUUGUCAGCACAUUAGCCAGGAGUUUUUUUACAAUU